rnacentral:rRNA from 1 species
AGUGAACGCUGGCGGUAGGCCUAACACAUGCAAGUCGAACGGCAGCACAGUAAGAGCUUGCUCUUACGGGAGGCGAGUGGCGGACGUGUGAGGAGUACAUCGGAAUCUACUUUUUCGGGGGGGAUAACGUAGGGAAACUUACGCUAAUACCGCAUACGCCCUACGGGUGAAAGCAGGGGCUCUUCGGACCUUGCGCGAUUGAAUGAGCAGAUGUGGGAUUAGCGAGUUGGCGGGGUAAAGGCCCACCAAGGAGACGAUCCGUAGCUGGUCUGAGAGGAUGAUCAGCCACACUGGAACUGAGACACGGUCCAGACUCCUACGGGAGGCAGCAGUGGGGAAUAUUGGACAAUGGGCGCAAGCCUGAUCCAGCCAUACCGCGUGGAUGAAGAAGGCCUUCGGGUUGUAAAGCCCUUUUGUUGGGAAAGAAAAGCAGAAGGUUAAUACCCCGCUGUUUUGACGUUACCCAAAGAAGAAGCACCGGCUAACUUCGUG